CAAUAGCGUAUAUUAACGUUGUUGCAGUUAAAAAGCUCGUAGUUGGAUUUCUGGAGGGAGCGUCGGCCCGUAUUUACGAGUGCGUGACGUCUCUGUCCAUCCUUGCGGGAAGGCACGGCAUAGAUUUGUUGUGUCGGAUCGCAUCAUUUACUGUGAAAAAAUUAGAGUGUUCAAAGCAGGCUUUCGCUUGAAUACAUUAGCAUGGAAUAAUAAGAUAGGACUUUGGUCUAUUUUGUUGGUUUGCAGACCGAAGUAAUGAUUAAUAGGGAUAGUUGGGGGUAUUUAUAUUCCGAUGUCAGAGGUGAAAUUCUUAGAUUUUCGGAAGAUAAACUUAUGCGAAAGCAUUUACCAAGGAUGUUUNCAUUA
rnacentral:rRNA from 1 species